rnacentral:rRNA from 1 species
GACGUAGGGCGCGAGCGUUGUCCGGAUUUAUUGGGCGUAAAGAGCUCGUAGGCGGCUUGGUAAGUCAGGUGUGAAACCCCCCGGGCUCAACCCGGGGACGCCACCUGAUACUGCUGGGCUAGAGUCCGGAAGAGGCGAGUGGAACUCCAGGUGUAGCGGUGAAAUGCGCAGAUAUCUGGGGGAAGGCCGGCGGCGAAGGCGCUUUUCUGGUUAGUACCUGACACUGAGGCACGAAAGCGUGGGGAGCAAACAGG